rnacentral:rRNA from 1 species
CCUACGGGGGGCAGCAGUGAGGAAUAUUGGUCAAUGGGCGCGAGCCUGAACCAGCCAAGUCGCGUGAGGGAAGACGGUCCUAUGGAUUGUACACCUCUUUUGUCGGGGAGCAAAAGACGCCACGUGUGGCUUUCCGAGAGUACCCGAAGAAAAAGCAUCGGCUAACUCCGUGCCAGCAGCCGCGGUAAUACGGGGGAUGCGAGCGUUAUCCGGAUUUAUUGGGUUAAAAGGGGGCGCAGGCGGGAGAUCAAGUCAGCGGUAAAAUUGAGGGGCUCAACCUCUUCGAGCCGUUGAAACUGGUUGUCUUGAGUGCGCGAGAAGUAUGCGGAAUGCGUGGUGUAGCGGUGAAAUGCAUAGAUAUCACGCAGAACUCCGAUUGCGAAGGCAGCAUACCGGCGCUCAACUGACGCUCAUGCACGAAAGUGUGGGUAUCGAACAGGAUUAGAUACCCCGGUAGUC